rnacentral:tRNA from 1 species
UCCCUGGCAGUCCAGUGGUUAAGACACUGAGCUUUCACCACAGGGAGCGUGGGUUAAAUCCCUAGCCAGGGAA